GAUGAACGCUGGCGGCGUGCCUAAUACAUGCAAGUCGAGCGAAUGGAUUAAGAGCUUGCUCUUAUGAAGUUAGCGGCGGACGGGUGAGUAACACGUGGGUAACCUGCCAAUAAGACUGGGAUAACUCCGGGAAACCGUGGCUAAUACCGGAUAACAUUUUGAACCGCAUGGUUCGAAAUUGAAAGGCGGCUUCGGCUGUCACUUAUGGAUGGACCAUCGUCGCAUUAGCUAGUUGGUGAGGUAACGGCUCACCAAGGCAACGAUGCGUAGCCGACCUGAGAGGGUGAUCGGCCACACUGGGACUGAGACACGGCCCAGGCUCCUACGGGAGGCAGCAGUAGGGAAUCUUCCGCAAUGGACGAAAGUCUGACGGAGCAACGCCGCGUGAGUGAUGAAGGCUUUCGGGUCGUAAAACUCUGUUGUUAGGGAAGAACAAGUGCUAGUUGAAUAAGCUGGCACCUUGACGGUACCUAACCAGAAAGCCACGGCUAACUACGUGCCAGCCGCCGCCGUAA
rnacentral:rRNA from 1 species